rnacentral:rRNA from 1 species
CAGUCGAGCGAUCCAUUAUAAUGCGCAAGCAUUGUGAUGGGGAGCGGCAAACGGGUGCGUAACACAUUGGUAAUCCACCCCGAAGUUUGGCACAACUCCGCGAAAGCGGAGCUAAUUCCAAAUGUGGUCACCGAAUGAUGAUUCGGUGAGUAAAGCGCAAAACGCGCUUCGGGAGGGGCCUAUGGCCUAUCAGCUAGUUGGUGAGGUAAUGGCUCACCAAGGCAAUGACGGGUAUGGGGUGUGAGAGCACGACCCCACUCACUGGGACUGAGACACUGCCCAGACACCUACGGGUGGCUGCAGUCGCGAAUAUUCCCCAAUGGGCGAAAGCCUGAGGGAGCGACGCCGCGUGAAGGAUGAAGGUCUUCGGAUUGUAAACUUCUUUUCCUUGGGACGAAGCUUCGGCUGACGGUACCAAGGGAAUAAGAGGUUGCUAACUCUGUGCCAGCAGCAGCGGUAAUACAGAGACCUCAAGCGUUGUCCGGAUUUAUUGGGCGUAAAGCGUCCGCAGACGGUCUGUUAAGUCUUUCGUUAAAUCUUUGGGCUCAACCCAAAGGCCGCGCAAGAAACUAGCAGACUCGAGGAUGGGAGAGGCGAGCGGAAUUGCCGGUGUAGUAGUAAAAUGCGUUAAUAUCGGCAAGAACACCAAAGGCGAAGGCAGCUCGCUGGAACAUUCCUGACGUUAAGGGACGAAAGCACGGGGAGCGAAGCGGAUUAGAUACCCGCGUAGUCCGUGCCCUAAACGAUGGGUGCUGGAUUUUGGGAGUUUCGACCCUCUCAGAGUCGUCAAAACAAGCUAACGCGUUAAGCACCCCGCCUGGGGAGUACGGCCGCAAGGCUAAAACUCAAAGGAAUAGACGGGGACCCGCACAAGCGGUGGUCCAUGUGGUUUAAUUCGACGGUAAACGAGAACCUCACCAGGGUUUGAAAUGUAGCUGCAAGGCC